GGUGGAAGAAGCUGAUGAUUGGCUAAGACAUGGAAACCCCUGGGAGAAGGCUAGGCCAGAGUACAUGCUUCCUAUUCAUUUUUAUGGAAGAGUAGAGAAUACAGAGACUGGUGUGAGAUGGGUUGAUACUCAGGUUGUUUUGGCUUUGCCCUAUGAUACUCCUAUUCCUGGUUAUAUGAACAACACAGUUAAUACAAUGAGACUCUGGUCUGCUCGAGCACCCAACGACUUUAAUCUCCGUGACUUUAAUGUUGGUGAUUACAUUCAAGCGGUGCUGGACAGAAACUUGGCAGAGAACAUCUCCCGCGUCCUCUAUCCAAAUGAUAAC